AUAGAGUGCCGAAGUAAUGGCGUCACUUUGUAGGCUAAAACGCGGAAGUGAGGUAGCAUUUUAGCACUACGGGUUCCCUCGCCCUGAAGUCUAUGGGUUUUUUGAAUGGGUUUUUGCUAAAUCGCCUGAAAUAAGGUCUGUGGUUAACAAAACCUCUAAAUAUUUUCACGUUUUGUUCUAUGACAUAAAAUACACCAGUUAUAAUCUGCUUGUGAUUUUUUAAAACUUUAUUGUGCCUUAAAAACGGUGGUUGCUAACAAGUUGCUAAUAGGGACUACAUUCUUGGCGGGGAGUUUAGACGUCAUCAUGACAGGAAAUCUAGCCUUUCAGCUUCACGUUCUCAGAAGUUUACCUUUCAGUUAAUAUACAUAACGUUAUAUAUUUAGUCUUUUCAAAUUGUAGUUUUUCCAAAUAUUGUUGUACUGUGGAGAGACUGUAGUUUGACAUGUUUUGUUUUGUCCGGAGAUGCAACCACAAGUCGUCGAUGAAAGAUGCUCGUUUACCGUCCGAUGUUCCCCAGCGGAGACUGUUCGUUACACGAGCUGACCGGAUGUCCAGUGUCCAUUCUCGCAUCUGCUGUCAUUUUCCUGCAGGGGAUAAAAUGUCCCUGUUUUGUUUAUAUCCACAAAUGAUGUUCCCACUGGACAAAUUUUGGAAGAUCAUUCAUACUCCCUGAGACAGGAUAGGGCUGAUGUGCCUAAAAAUGUUCCACCACCCAUUUAUAAAGAGGAGGAAAUGGCUACAAUUUAUGGCUGACAAAGAUGAUGAACCAUCUCCGGCUGAUCAAACCCUCACUAUCAAUUCUGAGGAAUAACCAAAUAAAAGCACAACUAAAGAAGAGCUGCAGUCUGGACGAAGAAGAAGAAUCCAGCUUGAGAUUGAGUUAGAGCAUUCCAUAACAGAGAUUCAGCUUCUCAAAGACUAACUCCAAAGGCAAACAAGUAACUGUCAUGACAGGUAUUCAGCCUUUCAGAUGAGUAAAAGUGUGAUUCGAAUGGAGACAGGAUUGCCAGAUAGAGAUACUUUCAGUGCUGUGUGUGAAUAUGUUGCUCAUUGUGAGGAUUCCAUGACGUACUUUGCUGGAUGGAGGAGACCCAAAGAAAUCAUCCUUGAGGACCUUGAUCAAAAUUCGCCACAACUAUACGCACUUGCAUUUUCCAUGUGGGCAUUCACAUUGUGUUGCAAAAAUACUUUCUUUCCCUGUAGAGACUUGUCAUGUGAAUUAUAUAGUAUAUAGUUUGUUUUCAGUUUACUUAUUUUAUGAAAAUAAAGAUGUUUACUACAAAACUUGC